rfam:Schistocephalus solidus strain NST_G2 genome assembly, scaffold: SSLN_scaffold0004157
AACUCUAUCCGGCGGAUCACUCGCUUCGCAUGUGGAUUAAGAGCGCAGCCAACUGUGUGAAUUAAUGUGAAUCGCGGACUGCUUUGAACAUCGACCUUUUGAAUGCACAUUGCGGACAUAGGCUUGCCCACGGCCACGUCUGGCCCAGGGUCG